CCUACGGGUGGCAGCAGUGAGGUAUAUUGGUCAAUGGCCGAGAGGCUGAACCAGCCAAGUCGCGUGAGGGAAGACGGCCCUACGGGUUGUAAACCUCUUUUGUCGGGGAGCAAAGCGAACCCUGUGUGGGUCAUUGAGAGUACCCGAAGAAAAAGCAUCGGCGAACUCCGUGCCUGCAGCCGCGGUAAUAAGGAGGAUGCGAGCGUUAUCCGGAUUUAUUGGGUUUAAAGGGUGCGCAGGCGGAGGUCCAAGUCAGCGGGAAAAUGGCGGGGCUCAACCCCGUACUGCCGUUGAAACUGCAUCCCUUGAGUGCGCGAGAGGUAGGCGGAAUGCGUGGUGUAGCGGUGAAAUGCAUAGAUAUCACGCAGAACUCCGAUUGCGAAGGCAGCAUACCGGCGCGCAACUGACGCUCAUGCACGAAAGCGUGGGUAUCGAACAGGAUUAGAUACCCGUGUAGUC
rnacentral:rRNA from 1 species